rnacentral:lncRNA from 1 species
CAACAGGAGGCCCGCCUGGGGGCAGUGCGCUGCCGGCCGCGUCACGUGACGCUUCUUGCCAACAGGUCGCCCGAGGCGGGACGCUGGGGUCACAGAGGGCAGUGGUGAACUGUGUGGAAUUGCUGAUGCUGGAGUUGAAACCUGAAUAUGAGGAUGCUCUAAACUGAUUUGCAGCACAGUAAAAAUGGAAGAAUAAGAGCCCAAGUUUAGAGCCUGGCACAGCAUCCUAACAGAAUCAUGCCUCGCUGGACAGUAAAUGCCUCUGCUGCCAGCGGAGGGGGCACCUAAAUGUCCAAGCUGAACUGAAUCCA